AGGCUAAAACUCUAGAAAACUCACUAGAAAUCUUGCACCCACUUUUCUUUUUUUUCUUUUUUUUUUCUCUUGGAAUGAUAUGGACUUCCUUCUCACGCACAAAACUUCCUCACGCCCUAGAAUUUUUCUCCAAAAAUCUUCUUCCUACACGCCCCACUCUCUUCUCCUCCUUUUAUAACAACGUCAAACGUCUUAUCCAAAAGAAAG
rnacentral:lncRNA from 1 species